rnacentral:rRNA from 1 species
UGCCAGCAGCCGCGGUAAUACGGAGGGUGCGAGCGUUAAUCGGAAUUACUGGGCGUAAAGCGUACGUAGGCGGAUUGGAAAGUAGGGGGUGAAAUCCCAGGGCUCAACCCUGGAACUGCCUCCUAAACUAUCAGUCUAGAGUUCGAGAGAGGUGAGUGGAAUUCCAAGUGUAGAGGUGAAAUUCGUAGAUAUUUGGAGGAACACCAGUGGCGAAGGCGGCCCACUGGCUCGAUACUGACGCUGAGGUACGAAAGUGUGGGGAGCAAACAGGAUUAGAUA